rnacentral:rRNA from 1 species
AGCAUAAGCCAUGCAUGUCUAAGUAUAAAUAACUACACAGUAAAACUGCGAAUGGCUCAUUAAAACAGUUAUAGUUUAUUUGAUACAACAAAUGGAUAACUGUAGAAAAACUAGAGCUAAUACAUGCCCUAACCGCAAGGUUGUAUUUAUUAGAUAUACCCAGUAGGUGAUUCAUAAUAACUAUGCAAAUCGUAACUCUGUUACGAUAAAUCAUUCAAGUUUCUGCCCUAUCAGCUUUCGAUGGUAGUGUAUUGGACUACCAUGGCUUUCACGGGUAACGGAGAAUUAGGGUUCGAUUCCGGAGAAGGAGCCUGAGAAACGGCUACUACAUCUAAGGAAGGCAGCAGGCGCGUAAAUUACCCAAUCCUGACUCAGGGAGGUAGUGACAAGAUAUAACGACGCGAUUUUAUAUCGUGAUUGUAGUGAGGGUAUUCCAAACCGAACUUCGAGUACGAUUGGAGGGCAAGUCUGGUGCCAGCAGCCGCGGUAAUUCCAGCUCCAAUAGCGUAUAUUAAAGUUGUUGCAGUUAAAAAGCUCGUAGUUGGAUUUCAAGGACUAGACUUAGUAAAAUUUGUCGAAGCCUAUCAGUCCGCAAGGACUGUUACUGUGAGAAAAUUAGAGUGUUUCAAGCAGGCAAUUGCAGGAAUACAUUAGCAUGGAAUAACGAAUGUGUCUAGAAUCUUGGUUAAUUCUAGAUUACGAUUAAUAGGGACAGUUGGGGGCAUUAGUAUUUAAUUGUCAGANGUGAAAUUCUUGGAUUUGUUAAAGACUAACGUAUGCGAAAGCAUUUGCCAAGGGAUGUUUUCAUUAAUCAAGAACGAAAGAUAGGGGAUCCAAAGACGAUCAGAUACCGUCGUAGUCCUAUCUAUAAACGAUGCCGACCUAGGGGAUUGGGACAGCAUAUACUGUGCUCAGUACCUUAUG